rnacentral:rRNA from 1 species
CCUACGGGAGGCAGCAGUGGGGAAUAUUGGACAAUGGGCGAAAGCCUGAUCCAGCCAUGCCGCGUGUGUGAAGAAGGCCUUCGGGUUGUAAAGCACUUUCAGUGGGGAAGAAAGCCUUGGGGCUAAUACCCUCGAGGAAGGACAUCACCCACAGAAGAAGCACCGGCUAACUCCGUGCCAGCAGCCGCGGUAAUACGGAGGGUGCGAGCGUUAAUCGGAAUUACUGGGCGGAAAGCGCGCGUAGGCGGUCUGAUAAGCCGGUUGUGAAAGCCCCGGGCUCAACCUGGGAACGGCAUCCGGAACUGUCAGGCUAGAGUGCAGGAGAGGAAGGUAGAAUUCCCGGUGUAGCGGUGAAAUGCGUAGAGAUCGGGAGGAAUACCAGUGGCGAAGGCGGCCUUCUGGACUGACACUGACGCUGAGGUGCGAAAGCGUGGGUAGCAAACAGGAUUAGAUACCCUAGUAGUC